rnacentral:rRNA from 1 species
CCUACGGGAGGCAGCAGUAGGGAAUAUUGGACAAUGGGCGACAGCCUGAUCCAGCAAUGCCGCGUGUGUGAAGAAGGCCUGCGGGUUGUAAAGCACUUUCAGUUGGGAAGAAAUAGCAUUAAGCUAAUACUUUAAUGUUUUGACGUUACCAACAGAAGAAGCACCGGCUAACUCUGUGCCAGCAGCCGCGGUAAUACAGAGGGUGCGAGCGUUAAUCGGAAUUACUGGGCGUAAAGCGUGCGUAGGUGGUUAAAUCAGUCGGAUGUAAAAGCCCAAGGCUUAACCUUGGAAUGCCAUUCGAUACUAUUUAGCUAGAGUACAGUAGAGGGAAGCGGAAUUCUUAGUGUAGCGGUGAAAUGCGUAGAUAUUAGGAAGAACACCAGUGGCGAAGGCGGCUUCCUAGACUGAUACUGACACUGAGGUACGAAAGCGUGGGGAGCGAACAGGAUUAGAUACCCUGGUAGUCCACGCCCUAAACGAUGAGAACUAGAUGUUGGGGGAGAUUGAUCC